GAUGAACGCUGGCGGCGUGCCUAAUACAUGCAAGUCGAGCGAACAGACGAGGAGCUUGCUCCUUUGACGUUAGCGGCGGACGGGUGAGUAACACGUAGGUAACCUACCUAUAAGACUGGGAUAACUUCGGGAAACCGGAGCUAAUACCGGAUAAUAUUUCGAACCGCAUGGUUCGAUAGUGAAAGAUGGCUUUGCUAUCACUUAUAGAUGGACCUGCGCCGUAUUAGCUAGUUGGUGAGGUAACGGCUUACCAAGGCAACGAUACGUAGCCGACCUGAGAGGGUGAUCGGCCACACUGGAACUGAGACACGGUCCAGACUCCUACGGGAGGCAGCAGUAGGGAAUCUUCCGCAAUGGGCGAAAGCCUGACGGAGCAACGCCGCGUGAGUGAUGAAGGUCUUCGGAUCGUAAAACUCUGUUAUUAGGGAAGAACAAACGUGUAAGUAACUGUGCACGUCUUGACGGUACCUAAUCAGAAAGCCACGGCUAACUACGUG
rnacentral:rRNA from 1 species